rnacentral:rRNA from 1 species
CCUACGGGUGGCUGCAGUGGGGAAUAUUGCACAAUGGGGGAAACCCUGAUGCAGCAACGCCGCGUGAGCGAUGAAGGCCUUCGGGUCGUAAAGCUCUGUCCUAAGGGAAGAAUACUGACGGUACCUUAGGAGGAAGCGCCGGCUAACUACGUGCCAGCAGCCGCGGUAAUACGUAGGGGGCUAGCGUUAUCCGGAAUUACUGGGCGUAAAGGGUGCGUAGGCGGCCAUUCAAGUCGGAGGUGAAAGGCUAGGGCUCAACCGUAGUAAGCUUUUGAAACUGUAGGGCUUGAGUGCAGGAGUGGGGAGUAAAAUUCCCAGUGUUUCGUUGAAAUGCGUAGAUAUUUGGGGGAACACGAGUUGCGAAGGGGGCUCUCUGGUCUGGAACUGACGCUGAGGCAAGAAAGAGUGGGGAGCGAACAGGAUUAGAGACCCCGGUAGUC